GGUUUGCAGGUUCUAGAAGUCUCAUGGAAAGCUUCAUAUUUAUUUGCAAGAGUUUUCCUCAUCUUACGACUGAGCAAUUUUUUCAACGCUACAGGAAUAUUUAUCCAUGGUAAAUCUUCUACCCCUAAUCUUGCUUUAAGACAAAUUUUCUUUCUACAGAUCCAUAUUGCUUCUUACACUAUUUCAUUGGAAGCCACUUGAUAUCUGUGUGUGCCGAUGAUAAUGACCAGAGUGAUAUUUAUUCAUGGAUCACCUUUCCUUCACAGAAAGCAGGAAUCGGUUCCAGUAUCUGGGCCAUAGUAGACUGCAUCCAUGCAGGUCACCAGAGGGAUGGAGAGUGGGCCAGGAGAGAGAAACAGGAUAACUAUCAAUGAGAAAUC
rnacentral:lncRNA from 1 species